rnacentral:rRNA from 1 species
AAUAUUGCACAAUGGUGGAAACUCUGAUGCAGCGACGCCGCGUUAGUUAAUAAUGUCUUCGGAUCGUAAAACUCUUUCCUUGGUGAAGAUAAUGACGGUAGCCAAGGAGGAAGCCCCGGCUAACUACGUUCCAGCAGACGCGGUAAUACGCAGGGGGCUAGCGUUGUCCGGAUUUACUGGGCGUAAAGGGUGAGUAGGCGGUUGCAUAAGUCAGAUGUAAAAGGCUAAGGCUUAACCAUAGUAUGCAUUUGAAACUGUGUGACUUGAGUACAGGAGAGGUAAGCGGAAUUCCUAGUGUAGCGGUGAAAUGCGUAAAUAUUAGGAGGAACACCAGUGGCGAAGGCGGCUUACUGGACUGUAACUGACGCUGAGUCACGAAAGCGUGGGUAGCAAACA